rnacentral:rRNA from 1 species
CAGCCGCCACGGUAAUACGGAGGGGGCUAGCGUUGUUCGGAAUUACUGGGCGUAAAGCGCACGUAGGCGGCUUGGUAAGUUAGAGGUGAAAGCCCGGAGCUCAACUCCGGAAUUGCCUUUAAGACUGCCGAGCUAGCAGGUGAGAGAGGUAAGUGGAAUUCCGAGUGUAGAGGUGAAAUUCGUAGAUAUUCGGAAGAACACCAGUGGCGAAGGCGGCUUACUGGCUCAUACUGGACGCUGAGGUGCGAAAGCGUGGGGAGCAAACAGGAUUAGAUACCCCAGUAGUCCCUGUCUCUUAUAC